rnacentral:rRNA from 1 species
AACGCGAAGAACCUUACCUACCCUUGACAUGCCAGGAAUUUUGCAGAGAUGCGAAGGUGCCGAAAGGAACCUGGACACAGGUGCUGCAUGGCUGUCGUCAGCUCGUGUUGUGAGAUGUUGGGUUAAGUCCCGUAACGAGCGCAACCCUUAUCUUUAGUUGCCAUCAGGUAAUGCUGGGGACUCUAAAGAGACUGCUGGUGAUGAACCGGAGGAAGGCGGGGACGACGUCAAGUCAUCAUGGCCUUUAUGGGUAGGGCUACACACGUGCUACAAUGGGCAGUACAGAGGGCAGCCAACCCGCGAGGGGGAGCUAAUCCCAGAAAGCUGUUCGUAGUCCGGAUCGGAGUCUGCAACUCGACUCCGUGAAGUCGGAAUCGCUAGUAAUCGCGAAUCAGAAUGUCGCGGUGAAUACGUUCCCGGGCCUUGUACACACCGCACGA